UUGGAAACCCAAGGCAUACUUCUGGAGAUCACUGAGAAGCCAGUUGAGGACACUUACGGGAUCAGAGGGAGCUUGUUUGAAAAGGCACACAGAUCCCUCCGUCUAAAAAAGAGAAGACCUAUCCAUAAGAGUUUGGAUUUCCCAGGUUUAAGUUGCCUUCUGAGCUGGAACCAGCAGCAUCCUACGGAAUUAAAUGGAGAGGUAGGCUUCUGAGGCUAUCUAGUCUUUGAAGAAUGAGAUGACAUUCCCUCCACAAAUUACUACUCCCCACUCUGAAGAUGCUCACAAAGCCAUCAGUCUCAAGAACCAUAUUCAUCACCCUUUG